rnacentral:rRNA from 1 species
AGAGUUUGAUCAUGGCUCAGGAUGAACGUUGGCGGUGUGCCUAAUACAUGCAAGUCGAACGGUGAUAUUUUUGUAGUAAUACGAAUUUAUCAUAGUGGCGAACGGGUGAGUAACGCGUUGGUGAUCUGCCUCGAAGUGUGGAAUAACGUCCCGAAAGGAACGCUAAUACCGCAUGUGCUCUCGAUUUUUAGAAAGUUGAGAGUAAAGGAUUUAUUCGCUUCGAGAGGAGCCUGCGUCCCAUCAGCUAGUUGGUAAGGUAAUGGCCUACCAAGGCAAUGACGGGUAGGGGACCUGAGAGGGUGGCCCCCCACAAUGGAACUGAAACACGGUCCAUACACCUACGGGUGGCAGCAGUAGGGAAUAUUAGAAAUGGACGAAAGUCUGAUCUAGCGACACCGCGUGUGCGAUGAAGGCCUUCGGGUUGUAAAGCACUUUUUGGAAGGAAUAGGAAGGAAGGUACUUCCAGAAUAAGUCUCGGCUAACUACGUGCCAGCAGCCGCGGUAACACGUAGGAGGCAAACGUUAUCCGGAUUUACUGGGCGUAAAGCGCGUGUAGGUGGUUCUGUAAGUAGGGCGUGAAAGCUCCCGGCUCAACUGGGAGAGGC